AUACGUAGGGUGCAAGCGUUAAUCGGAAUUACUGGGCGUAAAGCGUGCGCAGGCGGUUUUGUAAGACAGAGGUGAAAUCCCCGGGCUCAACCUGGGAACUGCCUUUGUGACUGCAAGGCUAGAGGACGGCAGAGGGGGGUGGGAUUCCGCGUGUAGCAGGGAAAUGCGUAGAUAUGCGGAGGAACACCGAUGGCGAAGGCAAUCCCCUGGGCCUGUACUGACGCUCAUGCACGAAAGCGUGGGGAGCAAACAGGAUUAGAUACCCUGGUAGUCCACGCCCUAAACGAUGUCAACUGGUUGUUGGGUCUUCAUUGACUCAGUAACGAAGCUAACGCGUGAAGUUGACCGCCUGGGGAGUACGGCCGCAAGGUUGAAACUCAAAUGAAUUGACGGGG
rnacentral:rRNA from 1 species